rnacentral:tRNA from 1 species
GGGGGUUUAGCUCAGUGGUAGAGCGCUUGCCUAGCAAGUGCAAGGCCCUGAGUUCAGUCCCCA